AGAGUUUGAUCCUGGCUCAGAACGAACGCUGGCGGCGCGUUUUAAGCAUGCAAGUCGAACGGUAGAAUAGUGCUUGCACUAUUUGAGAGUGGCGAACGGGUGAGUAACACGUAGGUGACCUACCUCUGGGAUGGGAUAGCUUAUGGAAACAUAGGGUAAUCCCGAAUGAGUCCAUAUAUUCGGUUAUAUGGAGAAAAGUGCGUUUGCACUGCCUGGGGAUGGACCUGCGGUCCAUUAGUUAGUUGGUGGGGUAACGGCCUACCAAGACGACGAUGGAUAGCCGGCCUGAGAGGGUGAACGGCCACACUGGGACUGAGACACGGCCCAGACUCCUACGGGAGGCAGCAGCUAAGAAUCUUCCGCAAUGGGCGAAAGCCUGACGGAGCGACGCCGCGUGAAUGAAGAAGGCCGAAAGGUUGUAAAGUUCUUUUACUGGGGAGGAAUAAAGUUAAGAGGAAAUGCUUGACAGAUGACGCUAACCAGUGAAUAAGCCCCGGCUAAUUACGUGCCAGCAGCCGCGGUAAUACGUAAGGGGCAAGCGUUGUUCGGAUUUAUUGGGCGUAAAGGGCGUGUAGGCGGUUCUACAAGCCUGGUGUGAAAGGCCUGGGCUCAACUUAGGUUUAGCGCUGGGAACUGUAGGGCUAGAGUUUACGGAGAGGAAGCUGGAAUUCCUGGUGUAGGGGUGAAAUCUGUAGAUAUCAGGAAGAACACCGAUGGCGAAGGCAAGCUUCUGGCCAUAGACUGACGCUGAGACGCGAAAGCGUGGGGAGCGAACAGGAUUAGAUACCCUGGUAGUCCACGCUGUAAACGAUGUGCACUUGGUGUUGGUGCUUGAAAGCAUUGGUGCCGUAGCAAACGCGGUAAGUGCACCGCCUGGGGAGUAUGCUCGCAAGGGUGAAACUCAAAGGAAUUGACGGGGGCCCGCACAAGCGGUGGAGCAUGUGGUUUAAUUCGAUGAUACGCGAGGAACCUUACCAGGGCUUGACAUAUAGCUGCCAGCUGUAGAGAUACAGCGUCUCCUUUGGAGUGGUUAUACAGGUGCUGCAUGGUUGUCGUCAGCUCGUGCUGUGAAGUGUUGGGUUAAGUCCCGCAACGAGCGCAACCCCUGCUGUCUGUUGCCAACAGGUAAUGCUGGGGACUCAGACGGAACUGCCGGUGACGAACCGGAGGAAGGUGGGGACGACGUCAAAUCAUCAUGGCCUUUAUGUCCUGGGCUACACACGUGCUACAAUGGCCGGUACAGAGCGCUGCGAAACCGUGAGGUGGAGCAAAUCGCAGAAAGCUGGUCUCAGUACAGAUUGGAGUCUGAAACUCGACUUCAUGAAGUUGGAAUCGCUAGUAAUCGCGCAUCAGCAUGGCGCGGUGAAUACGUUCCCGGGCCUUGUACACACCGCCCGUCACACCACCCGAGUUGGGGGUACCCGAAGUCACUAGUCUAACUGGUCUACAGAGGACGGUGCCGAAGGUAUGCCUGGUAAGGGGGGUGAAGUCGUAACAAGGUA
rnacentral:rRNA from 1 species